AAAUAUUAACAAGUCUUUCUUCUCACUUUUAAACAUUCUUCAUGCAUCUCUAGCACUUGUAAUCAAUCAAAUUCAUUGUAUUAUAACAUAUUCUAACCCAAAAUAACUUUAUACAAGCCAUUCACUGCCUCAAAGCAAUGGUUUUGGGUUCUUAUCCCAUUUGUGACCAAAUAUCAACAACUCUUUGUUCUCACUUUUAAACAUUCUUCAUGCAUC
rnacentral:lncRNA from 1 species